rnacentral:lncRNA from 1 species
GUCAUAGUGAUUCAGUUGCACCGAAAACACGCAAUCACUCUAUUAGUAAAAAGUUGCUUCAGGAUAAGGAUGGGGUUAGGCCCAAUAACUAUUAGGUGAGGGAUCUAAUGAUGGCCUUGUACCUGCUUGUGAAUGGUGGAUCGAUUUUAACUAAAAAGUGUGGUCAAUAACUGUUACGUGAGCCCACAUGACUUAGGGAUCAAGUCACUGCAACAUGCUUAAAGAAGCAU